GAUGAACGCUGGCGGCGUGCCUAAUACAUGCAAGUCGAGCGAACGGACGAGAAGCUUGCUUUUCUGAUGUUAGCGGCGGACGGGUGAGUAACACGUGGAUAACCUACCUAUAAGACUGGGAUAACUUCGGGAAACCGGAGCUAAUACCGGAUAAUAUUUUGAACCGCAUGGUUCAAAAGUGAAAGACGGUCUUGCUGUCACUUAUAGAUGGAUCCGCGCUGCAUUAGCUAGUUGGUAAGGUAACGGCUUACCAAGGCAACGAUGCAUAGCCGACCUGAGAGGGUGAUCGGCCACACUGGAACUGAGACACGGUCCAGACUCCUACGGGAGGCAGCAGUAGGGAAUCUUCCGCAAUGGGCGAAAGCCUGACGGAGCAACGCCGCGUGAGUGAUGAAGGUCUUCGGAUCGUAAAACUCUGUUAUUAGGGAAGAACAUAUGUGUAAGUAACUGUGCACAUCUUGACGGCACCUAAUCAGAAAGCCACGGCUAACUACGUG
rnacentral:rRNA from 1 species